UGCAGUCGAGCGGUAACAGAUCCAGCUUGCUGGAUGCUGACGAGCGGCGGACGGGUGAGUAAUGCAUAGGAAUCUGCCCGAUAGUGGGGGAUAACCUGGGGAAACCCAGGCUAAUACCGCAUACGUCCUACGGGAGAAAGGGGGCUCCGGCUCCCGCUAUGGGAUGAGCCUAUGUCGGAUUAGCUAGUUGGUGAGGUAACGGCUCACCAAGGCCACGAUCCGUAGCUGGUCUGAGAGGAUGAUCAGCCACAUCGGGACUGAGACACGGCCCGAACUCCUACGGGAGGCAGCAGUGGGGAAUAUUGGACAAUGGGGGAAACCCUGAUCCAGCCAUGCCGCGUGUGUGAAGAAGGCCCUCGGGUUGUAAAGCACUUUCAGCGAGGAAGAACGCCUAGCGGUUAAUACCCGCUAGGAAAGACAUCACUCGCAGAAGAAGCACCGGCUAACUCCGUGCCAGCAGCCGCGGUAAUACGGAGGGUGCAAGCGUUAAUCGGAAUUACUGGGCGUAAAGCGCGCGUAGGUGGCUUGAUAAGCCGGUUGUGAAAGCCCCGGGCUCAACCUGGGAACGGCAUCCGGAACUGUCAAGCUAGAGUGCAGGAGAGGAAGGUAGAAUUCCCGGUGUAGCGGUGAAAUGCGUAGAGAUCGGGAGGAAUACCAGUGGCGAAGGCGGCCUUCUGGACUGACACUGACACUGAGGUGCGAAAGCGUGGGUAGCAAACAGGAUUAGAUACCCUGGUAGUCCACGCCGUAAACGAUGUCGACCAGCCGUUGGGUGCCUAGCGCACUUUGUGGCGAAGUUAACGCGAUAAGUCGACCGCCUGGGGAGUACGGCCGCAAGGUUAAAACUCAAAUGAAUUGACGGGGGCCCGCACAAGCGGUGGAGCAUGUGGUUUAAUUCGAUGCAACGCGAAGAACCUUACCUACUCUUGACAUCCUGCGAAUUUGGUAGAGAUACCUUAGUGCCUUCGGGAACGCAGAGACAGGUGCUGCAUGGCUGUCGUCAGCUCGUGUU
rnacentral:rRNA from 1 species